CUCUUUGUGCAAUAACUACCCGGUGCUAAGCUUACUGUCUCAGAACAAUUUUUCUCAUGUAUUUCUGUUUUUCCUUCUAUUUGAUGCCAACAUAUCAUGCCUUUAUUGUAUGUCCAUGCUGGUUGAAUUGGUAUUUUAUUUAAUUUCAUUUGACAUGUGUCAUUAUUCUCCCAGCACCAUGAUACCUCUUCUAGAACAUUAACACCAUAAGGGCAGACAUAAUCACCAUCGUUUAACAAACAAUUUUCUGUAUUCAGCAUGUACUCUACAGUUUUUACUCCCACUAGGAUUUUAUCAUUUUGCUUAUUAUCCAUUUUUAUCCAUUUAGAAUUCACUAUUUUACCCAAAUCAAUAUACUUGAAUCUGUUGUAAUUAACUCCUCUAGUAGGGAGAAAAAUAGCAAAAGCACAAUUUUCUAUUGUGUCUUCCAGACAUCCUAACCAUUGUGUAUGCCAAAAAGCUCUAUAGUAAAAACUUAUUUUAGGCACUUCAAGAGGGACUUCAUAAGGCCAUUGAUGGUUAAAAAGAGCUUGCAGGAAUAUUUUUGCAUUAGUAUUGAUGUCCAUUUGUAAAGCUAUACAUCCUAAGGCUAAAGAGGUAUCACUUGCAAUCUUUUCCAUUCCUACACUGAUAUUAUACUUUUUAUUAAUGAGAUUCUUAAUAAUGGAAAUGUCUGUUCUGUAGUUGUUGAUAACUGUUUGCAUUUGUAUCUUAGAUAAUAACAAUGAAGCAUCCUGUGAUUUGCUACCUGAAGCUGCUAGUGUACUCAUUCUAGCUGCUAACGAUUCUAUAUUUACUCCAUUUAGCACACUUGCUCCUACACCUAAACCACCUAAUACUGUGUUAUACCACUCACGUUUUCUUCGUGUAUUCACUGGUCUUGAGAAAGUGGUGUCUUGUUUUAACCAAUAAUAGAAAUCUUGUUGUAUUCCUACUGUAUAUUCCUGACACUGUGGGAAUGUACGUGUAAUGUCCCAUUCUGACAUGUUCAAUGAAUAUGUGUAUAUACUAAAUGAAGCCCCAAAUAAGACUUUGUGAUCAUCAUCUUUGUAUAUUCUAAUGGGAUCUUUUCCUUCCUCUUCUACAAGAUUACAAUCAUCUGUUAUUCUUUGUUCUGGAGUCCAAUUAUCAUGAAAUGUCGUGAUUGUGAAUGCAUAUGAAAGCGAAACAGUGUUCCAAUUCCUAUUUAUUAUAUUUCUCAUAACAAAAAUAGGUGUCCAUAACCAUGAAGGUUUUCUAGAUUUUGGAUGCCAAGGCCACAUAGUGACUUGGCCUGCACAUUUAGCUGGGUUUUGAUAGGUAAAUGAGCUGUCUUGUGUUUGUUCGAGUACUUUUACUUUAGCAUUUGUGUAAGGAUUAACAAGUGUAUCUAUUAAGUACAUGUAGCAAAUUAACCCAUCAUCGUUAACACUUCUCACAUUAAACAUAGUAAGGGUAAGGUACCACACACCUACUCUCCGUAUUAUUUUGCAUUAUAUAUGUCCGAUCCUUGGUAAUAUUAAUGAUUAAAUCAAUUUGUCCGUCAACUGAUAGAUAUGUCAUACAUGGUUCUUGGUUAUCAUGGAAUAUGAGCGCACCGGAUAUUGCAUCCUCAGAUGUGUCUGCAUUAAUGCAUCCACAAUAAUCAACAUCAGGAGUCUUACAAUAUUUCACUUUUCACUCAUAGGGGAAUGCUGUACAUUUAGAAAAAGUAUCUCUAAUAUCACAAUCUGGAGUACCUGUACCUUGGGCAUUGAUUGUACCUAACAUCAUCAUGAUUAAAAACAGUAUGAUGCCGUGCAAUUUUAUAAAGGUUACAUUAUCAAGAAAACCCAAUCGGUUUGAUUUAGUCCAUGAAGUAAUGUCCUCACCAAUCGCAUUCAUGAGAGCAGUCUUUUUGUCCAUAGUGUCUUUUGAAAGUCCAAACAAAUUGUCCUUUUUAAAAUUAAACAGUCUUUGUCCAUGAACAAACAUUAUUGGUUCUGUAAUGAAAAACAGAUGGCAGUUUACUAUUCUUAUACAUGUGUGAGUUUACAUUGAUCAAUAUGCACAAGAAUUGCUUUGUUACAUUUCCUACCAACUUUUGCUCUUUGAACCUGUAAGACAGUUUGUCCUAAUUUCUUUAGAAUAACAUAAGGUCCUUCCCAACCUGCCUGCCAGGGACCUGGUGUUCUAAAUGAUUUUACCAUCACUUUGUAUCCUGGUUUAAACUUAUCUGCAUAAUUCCCCUGAGUUACAUCUUUAACCCAUUGUUUACCAGAAGGGGCCAUAUUCAAAGCAGCAAACUUCAAAACUGACUGCAGCUGUUCUUGUAAUACUUUUAACCAUUCAGCAUGUUCUGCAGCAACUUUGAAAGUACUUGGAACAAAAGGUUCAUUGGGGAAAGUAAUUGGCAUGGUUCUGCCUGUCAUUAACUCAUGAGGUGACACUUGCGUUUUGGAGUUUGGAGUUGCACGAAUAGACAUUAAAACUCCUGGUAAGUGUGUUACCCAACUACUCCCCUUAUCUUCAAGCAUUUUUUUCAAUCUAGAUUUCAGUGUUCUAUUCAUUCUUUACACUAUGCCAGCCGACUGUGGAUGAUAUGGGACAUGAAAUCUUUGUUGGAUCCCCAACAAUUUACACAUCUCUUUAAGUACUUCUCCAAUGAAGUGUGGACCAUUGUCAGAUUCAAUGAUUCUGGGAAAACCCCAUACAGAAAAUACAUAUUUCCACAGCGCCUUACAUGUUGUUAACGCUGUACAAUUGGUAAGAGCUAUACAAUCCACCCAUUUGGAGAAUAUAUCAACAAUUACCAAUGCGUACUUUAGUCCUCCUGGAGCUAUAGGUAAUGGUCCGAUAAAAUCAAUUUGUAUAGAGUCCCAUGGUCCUUUUGCCAAAGGUACUCUCUGCAAUUUUGGUUUCUGACCUUUAGGUCUGGGAUUAAAUUGAGCACAUAUGAGACACUCCUGCACUAUAUUUGUACACCAUUGUUUCAAAUUAGGAUGAUAACAUUUAUUUUGCAGGACCUUAAACAGUUUUUCUGUACCCAAAUGCCCCAGUGUACGAUGAUUGAAUACAAUCAACUCCUGCAAUAAAUCACUAGGUACAAAUGGUACAAACGUUUGUGUUUCCUCAUGUUUAAUCCCGUACAAGCCAGUUUCAGUAUCUAAAUCCAUUGUUUCUCUACUGAAAGCUACAUCUUUACUCUGAUUUUCUUUCAGAUCCUGUAGGGGAUUUGAUAUUGGUCUUUUACUCACAGUUGCAAUCAUUACAUUUUCUGAGUAUUGCAACUCUCCUAUUAAAGCAGCUUCCUUUGUUCACUGAUCUACAAGUCUGUUUCCU